AUGAACCGGAUGCGGGCAUGUCUGCAGCCUAGAAUUGGUGAUCAAGACGCUGGGGGGAGUGCAGCAAGGGGAACUGCUAGAGAUCCAUCUAUGCUACGUAGCAGGGGAGAGAGCCUGAGAGCAGAGCUGACAAAACUUGAGGCCCAGGGAAAAGCAGACCUAGAAUAUGCGCAAAUCCAUGGAACUUUCCCAGAUAGGGAAGGAACUUGUAAAGAUGAUGCAGUGAUUGUUGACGAGGAGAGACAUGAGUGUCUAAGAACGUUAUCUGCAGCUGCACUUGCUGUUGUGGAGCAAGCUAUGGAUAAUCCAGAAGUUUUUGAAGGCAUAUUUGAUCAAGCUAGAAGACUUCUUUCAAAUGUUGGAGCUGACGGAGACACCGAAGAUGCUGGAGCGGACAAUCAUGCAUAUGGCAACAGCCGAUCCAAUGGUAACAAUCACGAACAGAUACACUGGGCAGAACUAGAGAGGGAAGGCCAAGAUGACCAACAGGAAAAAGGAGGUGAAGCUGCAGGGGAUAUCCAAACUGACGGCGAAGUUAGGGACAAUAACUGGAGGGAGCUACUGAAUGCAAGCCAACAGGCGGCUGCAAACAUGUCUCCACUCGCCACCAACGGUGAGCGUAUGGUCGGCAGGGAACAGGACUGCUUGCGUCAUAACGAGGAUCUAGAUGAUGAGUUCUUUGGGGGUGCAUCAUGGUGGGUACUGACUAUUCUGCUGAAGACGAUGAGUUGA
rnacentral:rRNA from 1 species